rnacentral:rRNA from 1 species
AGUGAACGCUGGCGGUAGGCCUAACACAUGCAAGUCGAACGGCAGCACAGGAGAGCUUGCUCUCUGGGUGGCGAGUGGCGGACGGGGAGGAAUACAUCGGAAUCUACUCUGUCGUGGGGGAUAACGUAGGGAAACUUACGCUAAUACCGCAUACGACCUACGGGUGAAAGCAGGGGACCUUCGGGCCUUGCGCGAUUGAAUGAGCCGAUGUCGGAUUAGCUAGUUGGCGGGGUAAAGGCCCACCAAGGCGACGAUCCGUAGCUGGUCGGAGAGGAUGAUCAGCCAGACUGGAACUGAGACACGGUCCAGACUCCUACGGGAGGCAGCAGUGGGGAAUAUUGGACAAUGGGCGCAAGCCUGAUCCAGCCAUACCGCGUGGGUGAAGAAGGCCUUCGGGUUGUAAAGCCCUUUUGUUGGGAAAGAAAUCCAGCUGGCUAAUACCCGGUUGGGAUGACGGUACCCAAAGAAUAAGCACCGGCUAACUUCGUGCCAGCCGCCGCAGUAA